ensembl:lncRNA
CCCCUCUAUGCUCUGUAUGUCACAUAAACUGGUAUCUCCUGACCACCAUCAGAUCAAAGCACGGAUUUUCAAAUGCCUUGCGCUCAGGAACCGGGAACCAUCCUGGAUGUUGAGCAGCCGUCUCGAUACAGUCUGUCCGAGCUCUUCCAUACCCUGUGGGGCCCGUUUAGCCUGAGCUGGUCUCUUCCACCCCACCCGUGUCCCCUUUUGCUGUGCCUGAGUGUACCAAGAUUCUGCCCGUUUCUUUGUUCUUUAUAAUUACCUGAUCAGUAUGAUUAUAAAAUAUCUAAUAAUAUGAAGGUAUGUAAAGCGAAAAGCUGAAGUCAUUCCCCGCCCCAUGCCACUCACUCACCCGGAACGAACUUCUGUGUGAAAAGCUUGCUGGGCACCCUUCUAGAGAGUGUCUGGUCUAAUGACAUGGGGUGCGCAGGAAAUAUCCGUGCUUGUAGACGGCAUCACACACUCCAGACCACGGAUGUGCAUCAGAAUGUACUUCACCACGUCCUUAUGACCUGCAUCUCGAUUGCUCCCCGUCUGGGGCUAUUGCAGACAGUCCGCAGUCUAUACGCUUUUUUAUAUAAUUUUGGUGCACAAACUACAACCACUAGGAUUGUCAUUUCUGAAUCAAAAACUGACUGGGAUUGUCACACUGCUUUGUAAAAUGCCUAGUCGAUUUAUAGAGAUGGAGUGUGAAAGUACCCAUUUCCCUACCUCUGGCUAAUACUAGAUAUUCUAAGUCUUUAUAAGGUUUUUCCUAGUCAGUUGGGUGAAAGUUGCCUUUAACAAAAAAAAACUUAGUUUCUGAUUGCUCUCCAACACUUCUACUGCUUUAAGUGUCUUAGCCAUUUCUCUUGUUUUCUUUGGAGAAUGGUGUGUUCGCAUUUUCUAUACGUCUUGAUAUCUGAUUUGUAACUCCUUAUCAAAUAGAAUGCGUGCUAAUCCUUUCUUAUAUAUAUUGGAAAUAUCUUUUCCCAGUCUACUGCGUGUCUCUGAAUUCCGUUUUUUAUCAUGUAUACCAGAAUUUUAAAUGUGUCUGUAAUAAAGUAUGUCAGUCUUUCCCCC